GUCACUCUCAUCCCUGGGUGUGAAUGCUGCUUGCAGGUCAGCUCGCUCCAUUCUGCUGAGCUCCUCUGUUGAUAGGGGCACUGCACGAGUGCUAGCGUUGCCCUCAGCUUGUAAAUCCAGGAACUGGUGUUGUCCUGUAGCUGUCCUCCUGGGCUGUGGGAAUGAUCCCGUCGCUUGCCACCAAUUGUAACGGACCGUUUUGCACACAAGAGGUUAAAAACCUUUUAGG